GAUUUUGGAUCCGACUGAGUGGCGAACUGGUGAGUAACACGUGGGUAACCUGCCCAGAAGAAGGGGAUAACACCUGGAAACAGAUGCUAAUACCGUAUAACAACAAGAACCACAUGGUUCUUGUUUGAAAGCUGGCCUUUGUGCUAGUGCUUCUGGAUGGACCCGCGGCGUAUUAGCUAGUUGGUGAGAUAAUAGCUCACCAAGGCAAUGAUACGUAGCAGACCUGAGAGGGUAAUCUGCCACAAUGGGACUGAGACACGGCCCAUACUCCUACGGGAGGCAGCAGUACGGAAUCUUCCACAAUGGACGAAAGUCUGAUGGAGCAACGCCGCGUGAGUGAAGAAGGGUUUCGGCUCGUAAAACUCUGUUGUUAGAGAAGAACAGCCGUGAGAGCAACUGCUCACGGUAUGACGGUAUCUAACCAGAAAGUCACGGCUAACUACGUGCCAGCAGCCGCGGUAAUACGUAGGUGGCAAACGUUGUCCGGAUUUAUUGGGCGUAAAGGGAGCGCAGGCGGUUUAUUAAGUCUGAUGUGAAAGCCUUCGGCUUAACCGGAGAAGUGCAUCGGAAACUGAUAAACUUGAGUGCAGAAAAGGAUAGUGGAACUUCAUGUGUAGCGGUGAAAUGCGUAGAUAUAUGAAGGAACACCAGUGGCGAAGGCGGCUAUCUGGUCUGUAACUGACGCUGAGGCUCGAAAGCAUGGGUAGCAAACAGGAUUAGAUACCCUGGUAGUCCAUGCCGU
rnacentral:rRNA from 2 species